CAGUAGCCACGGUAAUACGGAGGGAGCUAGCGUUGUUCGGAAUCACUGGGCGUAAAGCGCACGUAGGCGGCUAUUCAAGUCAGGGGUGAAUGCCCGGGGCUCAACCCCGGAACUGCCUUUGAAACUAGAUAGCUUGAAUCUUGGAGAGGCGAGUGGAAUUCCGAGUGUAGAGGUGAAAUUCGUAGAUAUUCGGAAGAACACCAGUGGCGAAGGCGACUCGCUGGACAAGUAUUGACGCUGAGGUGCGAAAGCGUGGGGAGCAAACAGGAUUAGAUACCCCUGUAGUCCCUGUCUCUUAUAC
rnacentral:rRNA from 1 species